rnacentral:rRNA from 1 species
UACGUAGGGUGCGAGCGUUGCCCGGAUUCAUUGGGCGUAAAGAGCGUGUAGGCGGCCAGGUAGGUCGGUUGUGAAAACUGGAGGCUCAACCUUCAGAGGUCGACCGAAACCAUCUGGCUAGAGUCCGGGAGAGGAGAGUGGAAUUCCUGGUGUAGCGGUGAAAUGCGCAGAUAUCAGGAAGAACACCCGUGGCGAAAGCGGCUCUCUGGAACGGUACUGACGCUGAGACGCGAAAGCGUGGGGAGCGAACAGG